UUACUUCUAAGUCUCCUGCGCCCUAUACUUUUGAUGAGUUAACUCGGUUAGAUCUUGACCAGGGUGACUCACUCAUUCAUUCAACCCCUAUUCUUCUUCUUUGCAGACUUAUUCCCUUUUGACAGAUUCCUCGUCUCCUUCUCGAACAGAUUUUCUAUGGUUUUUCCUCUUAAUCUCUCUCCCCCUCUUCCUGCUGCAGUUUGUUUUAAUUGUUCUACUUUUUAAGAUAGAUUCCUGGGAGAUCGUCUUUGCAUAUAUCGUCUUUCCCUCAAAUCUAGGAACUAUGAAUCAUAAAAAAUAGGAACUUUGAGUUGUUUUGUUGGUUUUAAAUCUUUUUUCAGUUUUAAGGUUUUGAUGUUGUCUUGGAAACAAUAGUAUAUUCUAUUUAGGGUUCUAUCGGGCUUGCUGUGUGGCAACCUUAUAGCCAUUUGUAGUUCAACACGUCACUUCAUGUUCUUUGGCAGAGACGAUAAAUCUCAUUGUUGCUCUCUUUUCUCUCAUUUUUAUGAGUUUAUAAGAUUUCUUUAAUCAAGCAGACUGGAUUCUCUUUUUUCUCUCACAACAUUCCUUUUAGUUUUCACAGCUCUAAUCAACAGUCAUCGUUUGCCGGUGCAGCAUGAUCAAGAUUCACAUGCUAAUAUCAGUUCUAUGAAAUUUGAAGGUCAUGAGAAUCUUGAUGAUGCUGCAUCAGUGAUAAAUGACUCUCUUAUCAUAGAGAUGGAUCUAGGCAUCUCAUACAAGGUCAAAAAAGCAAAGGGCGCAAGAUUACCUUGUACGUGAUGGCCGGGUAAUAUUGUAAGGUAAGUGAAGAAGAUUAUGCACUUAUGUCUACCUUUAUACUAUUAAGCAUACAAUACCUGACUUUCAAAACAAAAAUAGUACUGAUUACUGAAGAGAUUAGAUAAAAUUUUAUAUCAAUAUUGAACUUUUUCAAUUAGCGUCUUUGUCAGUAGUACUAGAAGAUUGAAUUUCUGAAACUUAUUUACAGAAACUUUGGAUGAGAAUCAUGGUGGGAUGAUGUCACAUUGCACUUUGGAUCGCUUAAAAUUAUCUGAUAGUCAAAUAUUUCUUGCUAAGUUUAACUUUAAUGUUUUGCAAAGGAUUCUUAAGAUUUAAGCCCUCUUCCCAUUUCCCAAUUACAAAAUGAAAGAGGAAGUUCACGUAUAAGAUAUAUAUGUAUAUAUAAUUGAUUCAGAAGAGACAUUUCUCAUUCCUUUUGCAGCUAUUGCUGGUAAACGAUUUCACUAUUUAUUUCUUCUUUCAUCUAUUCCUUUAU